rnacentral:tRNA from 1 species
GGGGUUGUCGCUCAGUGGUAGAGCACUCGCCUCUGAAGUGUGAGACCCGGGUUCGAUCCUCAGCACCA